GGAGAGAUGCCAGAGUGACCGAUUGGGCCGGACUCGAAAUCCGGUGAACGGCUCGUCCGUUCCGGGGGUUUGAAUCCCUCUCUCUCCGCCA
rnacentral:tRNA from 1 species